rnacentral:other from 1 species
AAUUGCCUGCUAUGUUCGUGUGCUUUUUUUAUGUUUCGAACCUUGAAUGUAAAAAAGGGAGUUCUAUAUGAUUGACUCUACGUCAUGCCGACUGGUUCGGACUUCGGAACGUGAACUGCGAACACCCACCUGCGAGAGUAGGUUCAUGAAACAUUUACUGCUAACGGCACCCGCGGGUAAAGA